UACGGAAGGCAGCAGUGGGGAAUAUUGCACAAUGGGCGCAAGCCUGAUGCAGCCAUGCCGCGUGUAUGAAAAAGGCCUUCGGGUUGUAAAGUACUUUCAGUCGUGAGGAAGGUGUUAAGGUUAAUAACCUUAGCAAUUGACGUUAGCGACAGAAGAAGCACCGGCUAACUCCGUGCCAGCAGCCGCGGUAAUACGGAGGGUGCGAGCGUUAAUCGGAAUUACUGGGCGUAAAGGGCACGCAGGCGGUUAAUUAAGUUGGAUGUGAAAUCCCCGGGCUUAACCUGGGAAUGGCAUUCAAGACUGGUUAGCUAGAGUCUUGUAGAGGGGGUAGAAUUCCAUGUGUAGCGGUGAAAUGCGUAGAGAUGUGGAGGAAUACCGGUGGCGAAGGCGGCCCCUGGACAAAGACUGACGCUCAUGUGCGAAAGCGUGGGGAGCAAACGAGGGAUUUAGAUACCCGU
rnacentral:rRNA from 1 species